AGCUGGAACAGAAUGACUCUUGGAACAAGUAGAUUUCCUGACAGAUGUUAUUGAAUUCUGAACUAACAUCCGAUGAUCGUUGUCAAAAAUAGCUCAGAUAUUAUGUUAAGUUACGUGCUCAAGAUUAGAAACAACUUGCAUCAUUGAUGUGAAAAAGACCUGGGAGAAACUCCUUCUUGCCACGCGUGAUGAGUGAUUAGCUAAAAUCGAGCUGAUAUGGAAAAACCCACUGACGUGUGUCAUCUCACCGAGACACUACAGACAUGGGAACGUGCGAAGGACGAAGUCUAAGAAUUGGAGAAUAACGUCAGUAGAGAAGCAGCUAACUUCCCCUGUACCCAAGCAUACCAACGACGUUAAACAAUAGACAUGAAGAGACUCGAUGCCACCGCUGACCCCCUACGAAGUACUUGUGCUCGGAGGCAGAAACUGGCAUCGUUUAGGUCGAGAGCUAAAAUGUAAUCCUCGUGACCUGGAUCUGGAGCAACUACAGCACAGCUACCUUCACACUACAUCAGAUUCGAAAUAAGACUCAACAGAGCCUCGUAUUCUCCGCACAACACUCUCUUGAUAACAUUAGUCUGAAAAAGUUGGUUAAAGAACUUAAUCCGGACAUUAAGAGGCUGUGGGGAUGUACGGAUAGUAUUCGCCAUUAGGAAACACCCUUCAAUCGAUAAUACACUAGUGAAGAAUUGAAAACUGGAAACCCUUGAUGUAGGAAAACAGAGGUGUAAUGGACCUGGCUGCAAAACUUGCCCGUACUGUUUGACAAGGACUCAAAGAUCAACAACAUGGACCUGGUGCUAGACGGAACAAACAAGGACAAACAUGUUAUCUAUGUUGCCCAGUGCCAGCUAUGUUGCACACAUUUGACCGCUUUUACAAUUUAAGCUGGUAUGAAGAAGAGAUAAUAUUUUGCUUUUAGUGUUACCGUCACUACUGUAACGAGAUUUCUUAGCGUUAUCAAUUUACAGUAAUGAGACAGAACAGUUUUAAGACUGAUUAGUGAAUUUUUGUUUAAUAAGUAGUGCUAGUUACUGCUAAUCAGUUUUACUAAAGAAUAUUAAAUUUUGCCGGCUAAUUUUUACGUUUGAUUUAAUAAGUUAUGAUGAUUAUAUAUAAAUUUUACUUGAUAUAGUGCUUAUCUUAAAGUUAAAUGUUUUUAUAGGCUCUUAAGGAUGUAGUUUUACGAAGAUUUCAAGCCUUAC